rnacentral:tRNA from 1 species
GACUAGCUCAAUUGGUUGAGGGCUUGUCUCACAAGCACAAGGCCCUGGGUUCAAUCCCCAGCA